rnacentral:tRNA from 1 species
GGCGGCGUAGCUCAGCCGGAUAGAGUGCACGGUUCAUACCCGUGAGGUCGAGGGUUCGAUUCCCCCCGCCGCUACCA